AAUGCUGUUGGUGUGAAAGCACGAAUAAAACUUGUGAAAAGUAUCGUCAUGUAAUCCAUUUAUUUCAACAAUGUAACUGUAUUCUAAAUUCUAUGAUUUGUAACCUCCCAAACACUAUCAAACCAAACCCAAACUGUGGUCCAUGAUCAUCAGUUUUCUUUGUAUGCUUUCUCUGUGGCUGUUUUGACAUGGAACCAUACACGAUGUUGAUGUGUUCAUCUUUGAAGCGAAACGUCAACUGAAUUCCAUCAGUUAUCAGUUUGGGAUGUCUUAUUUGUUUUAAAGAGGCAAAUUUAUGUUGUUAAAACAAAACAGUUUUAGGAGAUCAACAGUUGGAGGAAAACUUGCAGGAAGGUCUUGAAGUGAGGCCAACAGCAGCCUGCAUGAUGGGACCAGUAGUCACAACCAAGGGUCUCUAAAUAAACCAGAAGCACAUGACCUUCAGGACUGUCUUAAGGAAUUGUUAAGUAUUUGUCAACCUAAUGUACUCUUCUGUUCUCACUCCCCAUCAGCUACUUCCUGUUCCUGUUUAUGACAACGUCUCAGCUCUGACCAAUCGCUUAGACACUGUAGCACAGAGAGAACCAAUAGAAGAGCUGGAUGACCAUCACUAUGCCAGCAUCGACACCUCUGUGUCGAGGAGCAGGAAGUGCCUGGCUCCGGUGCCAAUCAGUCAAGACUGCUGUCUUUUACUCUCUGGUCGACAUUCAAAGGGUCAACGCUGUCCCUGGAGAAAGUGACCCGGCAGAAACCCCAGAGUUCUACAGCACCAUCAAAUAAUACCUCAGAUAUUGAACCAGUUGUUGCAGCAAUAUUUAAAUAGUGGAACUAGGUAGAGAGUCUCAUCCAUUUAGUUUAACAGCACAAUACGCUGGCUGCAUCCUAUGGCGCUUAAUUACCUGGACGGAAUACUUGCCACCACUGCUCAUAAAUGAUCUGAUUGAUUGGCCUUAUUUGACUUGAUUGUGUACGUUCCACCAACCCAGUCGCCAAAAGCAUACGUUGACCGUGUACGUUUUCGUGAAGACUGGAUUACGUCGCAUUUCAAUGUAAAAUAGCGUGUUAUACCUACAGUAUCCGCUCUUGGCGCUGUGGAGGCGCCUGAAGAAAGCACAACCAACAAGGACAUUUCCUGGUUAUAAAAUGCAUCAAUUCCUUGUUAUAAAAAUACAUAAAUUAUAAUUAUUUGGAGACUUCCCAUCGCUGUCAGUACGGCGAAGGUGACGGUGAUGCAGGGUUGCAAGCUUCACGGUUUUCUCGCUAAAUUGGGCUGUUUUGAAAACAGAGUCGCGGGUGUAAACCUCAAAGACGCGGUUCACGGUUUUCUUUGGUACUUUCAAAUCCCACCACAGAAAACAGUUGGGGUGUAUUAUGUAUUCUAUAAUCUUUAUGAAAACUCAGUCAGAACUAUUAAACACCAGAGGAUGGGCGGGGUGGGGCAGUGGACACACACACACAAACACAAUGCCCUCAAAUAUUAUUACUUUCAAUACAUUGGCCAAAAUGAAACAUCUUUUAAUUUGGGCUGCUUCUAGGACAUUUUGGGUGGAUUUUGAACAGUAUGUGGGCAGGACGUUGUUUGCAGGACCUGGCAACCCUGCGCUGUUGUCCGAGGUGCUGAAAUUCUCCUGAACAGAUCUGGAUCCAUGGCCAAAAAGACUUAUUAUAGAUUAAACUUAACUUUUCAAUAAAUACUAUGGCAGAAUAAAGACUACAUUUAUGCAUUGCAACUUGAA